rnacentral:lncRNA from 1 species
AUUAAAUGUAAAAUGGCAGAAACAUUCGUUUUGGGCAAAUUUCUCAUUUUAAAUGAGUUCUAUUUAGAAACAAAACAAAUGAAAUGGUGGCAAUAUCAAUUACAAGGAUGAUAAGGCUUUAUCUGAUCACAUCUUCAAGGUUUUAUGCCUUUUCCUUCGUGUCCUGUCCUUCCCUCCUCCACUCCCCACUCCUGUUUCUCUGUAUGUCAGGUUUCAACAAGGGGAAAAACAAAAACUUUGCAAGGAUAUUUCGAGGGUGAGAAAAUGUUACGAUGGACCUGCAUUUCUUUAUUAAUGAAACACCACCUGGAACACAGCUGUGACUUGAUAAACAAGUGAAACAUUCUUUGGUGUGGUGAGGGGAAAACAAAUUUCUCAAAGGACACGCACCAUGGUGUAUGAGAGGACACUGGAGCCCAGCCAGCAUCUGACAUGCUGAAUUCAAAGUGCAGGUGAAAGUAGGACAACUGAUUCACAAGCUGGGAUGCCUGUGUUGUUGUUUGCCAGUGUGCGUGUGUG